rnacentral:rRNA from 1 species
CAGCAGCCGCGGGAAUACGAAGGGGGCUAGCGUUGUUCGGAUUUACUGGGCGUAAAGGGCGCGUAGGCGGGCUGAUAAGUCGGGGGUGAAAUCCCAAGGCUCAACCUUGGAACUGCCUUUGAUACUGUUGGUCUUGAGUCCGGGAGAGGUGAGUGGAACUGCGAGUGUAGAGGUGAAAUUCGUAGAUAUUCGCAAGAACACCAGUGGCGAAGGCGGCUCACUGGCCCGGAACUGACGCUGAGGCGCGAAAGCGUGGGGAGCAAACAGGAUUAGAUACCCCCGUAGUCCCUGUCUCUUAUAC